GACAGAGGUGGCAAGCGUUGUUCGGAAUUACUGGGCUUAAAGGGCGCGUAGGCGUCCCGGCAAGUCGGAUGUGGAAGCUUCCCGCUUAACGGGGAAAUUGCAUCCGAAACUGUCGGGAUUGAGUCAGCAAGGGGAUGGCGGAAUUCCAGGUGUAGCGGUGAAAUGCGUAGAUAUCUGGAGGAAGGCCGGUGGCGAAGGCGGCCAUCUGGUGCUGAACUGACGCUGAGGCGCGAAAGCGUGGGGAGCAAAC
rnacentral:rRNA from 1 species